UUGUUAUUUUCCCGUGUCUCUUGCUUUUUGCUUGUAUGAUACAGACAGAUAAUAAAUCCUAAGUCUAAAACCAGUUAGAGUCCCAUCCCAUUUGUGAGACACGGACCGAUCUGGCAGAGAGGUGGAGAGCAAAGUUAAACCUGGGAAGGUGCAGUGUUCAUUACCUUGAUACUGAGAGCUUAAAAGUGGCCCACAGAUGAAAUGUACUGGAAGAUAAUUUUUUAAAUGUAGAGGCACACCUCCACCAAUUUUAUCAAUUUAUUCUGAUGAGCAAGACCAGUAUAUUUUCCAUCUUCAUGAGGGCCACACUAGGUUUUCUAGGAGUUAUUUGGAUAAUUGCAAAGAAGAGCAUUUCUCAGGCAGUAAAGUACAUCUUAAUGGGAAAUGUAGGACAAUAUUGAUCAAGGGAUAUUCCAGCUACCUGAAGCAACUACACCAGUGUCAGUGUGAUACUGUACUUGGGCUAAAUAAAGACAUGAAAAGCAGACAUAGGAAGAUGCAUAAGAAAUGAGGAAUAUGUAGUCUCAGAUUAUGGAAGCACAUACCCACCUGGAGCUCCUGGAGGAUCCCAUGCUGGAGCAGGUGGAUGUGCCCAAAUGUACCUAUAAGAAGCCCGUACUGGAGCAGGCUCUGGGCAGGACCGUAACGAUAUGGAGAGAGGACAAACACUGGAGCAGGUUUGCUGGGAGGACUUGUGACCCCAUGGGGGUCCCCCACUGGAGCAGCCUGUUCCUGAAGCACUUACCAAAAGGGAAGGGACCCAUGCUAGAGAAGUUCAUGAAGAACUGCAUACUGUGGGGAGGACUGAUACUCAGAAUUUUCAUGAAGGACUGUCUCCUGUGGAAGGCACACCACAUUGGUGUAGGAACAUCUGAUGUCCUGCCAGUUGCAGCUGGGAAAUGCAAUGACAUGCUGCUCUUGUCGAAAUUAAAAAGGAAACUCUAUCAGCUACUGCAGGAAAGCAAAACAUUCUGAAUCAAGGUGAACUGGUGGAGCACAAGUAUGCUUGAUGAAGUACCUGGGGAGUCUUUUCACAAGCAAAAUGCCUCCUAAUAUGUAAAGGGUUUUCUUGAUAUGCAAACUCAUUACUACAGUCCUAUAAUGUCACUUGUUUUAUUCAUAGAUUAUUAUACACUAUUAAAUUGCAUUAACAUGAUUGCAAGCUUAAAGCCUGAUUAAUUAUAAACAUAUAAUAAACAAGAUUACAUCGUAUUAUAUUUCU